rnacentral:rRNA from 1 species
CUAUCAGCUUUCGACGGUAUGGUAUUGGCUUACCGUGGCAGUGACGGUUAACGGGGGAUUAGGGUUCGAUUCCGGAGAGGGAGCCUGAGAAACGGCUACCACAUCUAAGGAAGGCAGCAGGCGCGCAAAUUACCCAAUUCUAACAGUUUGAGAGAGGUAGUAACAAGAAAUAACAAUACAAGGCAGUUAAAAUGCUUUGUAAUUGGAAUGAUAGAAAUUUAAACCCUUUUUAAAGUAUCAAUUGGAGGGCAAGUCUGGUGCCAGCAGCCGCGGUAAUUCCAGCUCCAAUAGCGUAUAUUAAAAUUGUUGCAGUUAAAAAGCUCGUAGUUGAAGUUCUGCUAAAAGUAACCGGUCUGCUUUUAAUAAAAGUGGUAUCUUGGUGUGUAUUUAGCAAUGAUGUCCUUUGAAGUGUUUUUUACUUUAUUGUAAUAAAGCAUAUUCAGGACUUUUACUUUGAGAAAAUUAGAGUGUUUCUAGCAGGCUGACGCUUUGAAUACUGCAGCAUGGAAUAAUAAGAUAGGAUUUUAGUUCUACAUUAUUGGUUUUAAGAGCUAAAUUAAUGAUUGAUAGGGACAGUUGGGGGCAUUUGUAUUUAACUGUCAGAGGU